ACACUGAUGGUGAAACGGUAUCAUGCUUGCCUUCCAUCGAAGAACGUCUUUCUGGUAGCAAGCGGCGUGGGUUCGACUCCCGCUCAGUGUA